CCUUUAGCCCAGGCCUCAGCCUGCAAGCGACUGAGCAAACCUCGGUGUGUACUAUAGCCCAAGACUGAAGAAGAAUGUGGACUGAACAGCGUGAAAGGCUCAACUCUGCAGGGAAGUCAUUGCUACACUAGAAAGGCUGUUUCUCCCUCAAGUCCAACACCACUCCUAAAAGAAACACAGCAGUUCUGCCCACCACAGGAAACUAUGGGGAAAGCCCUGAUGGCCCCAUAAUGAGGAAUCAUAAGAUAGUUUUCCACAUCCUCCUGGAUUCCCAGAAUAUUCUCCAGAAUCAUGUGGAUGGUACCUAGGGAUAGUAUUAAUAUAAUAUAUAACUUUUCUCUCCUUUAAUGAGUUUUUUGAAAUCCCUCAAAGUCUUUUCAAAAAUCCUUCUCAAAAAUUCCUAUAAAUACAUCACCUACAGGAUCCAUAAGGUUCUGAAAAAAGAAAAGAAAAGAAAGGAAGAGAGACGGGGGAUUCUGUUUCUCUCUGUGAUAGGAGACAUGGUACAGAGCAUGGACUCAGAUGUUGGAAGAGGAAACGACAGUUUCCAAUGCCCCUACUGAACAUGGAUUCGUUAGAACAAUUACAAAAGUUUCAAAGUAUUAAUCCACGACCAUCAUGGUGGGGAGCAAGGCAGCAGGCAGGUGGUAGCUGAGAGCUGACAUCUGAUCCUCAAGAUAGAGGCAGAAACAGCAACUGGGCCUGGUACGUCUUCUUGAAACCUUAAAGCCCACCUCCCAGUGACACACUCCUCCAACAAGGCCAUUCUCCUGAAUAGUUCCACUAACUGGGAACCAAGCAUUCAAACAUAUGAGCCUAGGGGGGAAUUCUCACCUGAACCACUGCACAUCGGGCUUCCUUUCUAAAGCCUUACCAUAACUUAUGGAUAGAUUCUGCCCAUGAAACCCAUUCUAGUCAGCUGGUUAGUGCAGGUAUCUUACCUUUUGGUGAAUUAAAUGUGGUUUACCCAUUACGCCUGUGCUGGAUAGCUUU